AUUGAACGCUGGCGGCAGGCCUAACACAUGCAAGUCGAACGGUAACAGGAAGAAGCUUGCUUCUUUGCUGACGAGUGGCGGACGGGUGAGUAAUGUCUGGGAAACUGCCUGAUGGAGGGGGAUAACUACUGGAAACGGUAGCUAAUACCGCAUAACGUCGCAAGACCAAAGAGGGGGACCUUCGGGCCUCUGGCCAUCGGAUGUGCCCAGAUGGGAUUAGCUAGUAGGUGGGGUAACGGCUCACCUAGGCGACGAUCCCUAGCUGGUCUGAGAGGAUGACCAGCCACACUGGAACUGAGACACGGUCCAGACUCCUACGGGAGGCAGCAGUGGGGAAUAUUGCACAAUGGGCGCAAGCCUGAUGCAGCCAUGCCGCGUGUAUGAAGAAGGCCUUCGGGUUGUAAAGUACUUUCAGCGGGGAGGAAGGGAGUAAAGUUAAUACCUUGGCUCAUUGACGUUACCCGCAGAAGAAGCACCGGCUAACUCCGUG
rnacentral:rRNA from 1 species